AUUCCAGCUCCAAUAGCGUAUAUUAAAGUUGUUGCAGUUAAAACGCUCGUAGUCGGAUUUCGGGGCGGGCCGACCGGUCUGCCGAUGGGUAUGCACUGGCCGGCGCGUCCUUCCUUCCGGAGACUGCGCCUACUCUUAGCUGAGCGGGCGUGGGAGACGGAUCGUUUACUUUGAAAAAAUCAGAGUGUUUCAAGCAGGCAGCUCGCUCUUGCAUGGAUUAGCAUGGGAUAAUGAAAUAGGACUUUGGUGCUAUUUUGUUGGUUUCGAACACCGAAGUAAUGAUUAACAGGGACAGUCAGGGGCACUCGUAUUCCGCCGAGAGAGGUGAAAUUCUCAGACCAGCGGAAGACGAACCACUGCGAAAGCAUUUGCCAGGGAUGUUUUCAUUA
rnacentral:rRNA from 1 species